rnacentral:rRNA from 1 species
CAGUCGCCGCGGUAAUACGAAGGGGGCUAGCGUUGCUCGGAAUUACUGGGCGUAAAGGGAGCGUAGGCGGACAUUUAAGUCAGGGGUGAAGUCCCGGGGCUCAACCUCGGAAUUGCCUUUGAUACUGGGUGUCUUGAGUAUGAGAGAGGUAUGUGGAACUCCGAGUGUAGAGGUGAAAUUCGUAGAUAUUCGGAAGAACACCAGUGGCGAAGGCGACAUACUGGCUCAUUACUGACGCUGAGGCUCGAAAGCGUGGGGAGCAAACAGGAUUAGAUACCCCAGUAGUCCCUGUCUCUUAUAC